CUCACUCUGGGGGCACCAGCUGCAGACACUCAAUCCCCCUGUGGAGAGACUCAUGCGGGCAGAUAUUGAGGCCUUUGGCCAACAGCCAAUCCCAGAUAGUGUGCGAAUUGAAUGAGGGUCAUUCUUGGAGUCAACGUGACAGUUUCUUACAGACACGGGCAAGGUAGACGCACAGGCCAAGAGGAUCCAGAGACGGAGUUUGCCCCUUUUUGCGAUGGAGCUGAUAUGUUACCGGGCCCUCAGAACUCCAAGAAGCUGGCUCUGCCCCAAACUCCAUUUUUGAGAGGAAGAACCAGCCUGGAAGAAGUUAAGUGCUCAAAGCCACAGUUCGUGGGCGGCUCUGCGGGAUAUAAAUCGAGU